CCUCAUCUUGGAGAUUGGAGCUGACUGCUGUUAGCACUGCAGGGUUGGACACCACUGCCAAGGGCGCCGUGGGUGUAAGAACAAUGCCUUCAGCAUUGCUAGAGGAAGGAGCUAGGAGCCAACCAAUCUUCUGAUCUUCAGCCAUGGUCGGUCUUCCACAUAGGAUUCAAUUCUCACCCAAGACAGGACCCAACAAGAUUGGACUCUGGAGUAGAAUUCCUCCCAGGUCAUUUCGGGGGCAGAAUCUCAGGAUCAAUUGAUGCAAAGACGGAGCACACCGGCUCUCAAUCUCCUUUCAAAGGAGAGUCCAAAGGAUCCCAAUAAUGUCUACCGGGGACAGAGUUUCACCUCCGUCGGGGGAGUCAAAGCCCGGCUAAACCAGGACACGUCUUUCAGUGAGGUUCAAAGUCAGCUGCUGGGGAUGGGUCACUGAGAAAGGCGAGUCGCGUGGAUGAGUCAAGAGCCGGCUUUGUGAUGGCAAUAAGUUG